rnacentral:rRNA from 1 species
GAUGAACGCUAGCGGCAGGCUUAACACAUGCAAGUCGAGGGGUAUUGGUUUUCGGACCAAGAGACCGGCGCACGGGUGCGUAACGCGUAUGCAAUCUACCUUUUGCAGAGGGAUAGCCCCAGAGAAAUUUGGAUUAAUACCUCAUAGUAUAGUACUUUGGCAUCAAGGAACUAUUAAAGUCACAACGGCAAAAGAUGAGCAUGCGUCCAUUAGCUAGUUGGUAAGGUAACGGCUUACCAAGGCUACGAUGGGUAGGGGUUCUGAGAGGGAGAUCCCCCACACUGGUACUGAGACACGGACCAGACUCCUACGGGAGGCAGCAGUGAGGAAUAUUGGACAAUGGGCGCAAGCCUGAUCCAGCCAUGCCGCGUGCAGGAUGACGGUCCUAUGGAUUGUAAACUGCUUUAUACAGGAAGAAACACUCCGACGUGUCGGAGCUUGACGGUACUGUAAGAAUAAGGAUCGGCU